ACUUGCAAAGUGUGUGGUGUGAGAGAGGUGUGACAGGUGGGCGGGAGCCUGCAGCAGGCACAUCUGACCCAUCCUAGGUGUGUAUGGUGCAGAGAAGUUAGCCUAGGCUUUCUAGGGGCACUGAUGUCUGGGCCGAGUCUUGUAGGGCAGGGAAUUAGUCAAGGGGAGCUGUAGUGAUCCAGCUGGGGCUGAGCAGGAGCUGAAAGUGAACAGCUCACAUCUGUAGGGUUGCCAGAUUUAGCAACGGAAAGUACAAGAUGCCCUAUUAAAUGUGAAUUUCAGAUAAAAUAAUAACUUUGAAGAAUAUGUGUCAUGCAAUAUUUUUAGUAUAAGUAUGUCCCAAAUAUUGUAUAACCACACACAUUAUUCAUUGUUUAUCUGAAAUUCAAAUUUCACUGGGCAUCCUAUGAAAAGUCUGUCAAUUUUAUCUGUCCGCAUUUAGGAAGGUGCAGUAUGUUUCAGAGUAGCUGGAGUGAUGCAGGGAGGAAAGGCAGAGUGGGCCGGAUGGGGCUGAGAGGCACACAGGAGGCAGUUUGUAAAAAACCUAUGCUAUGUUAAGGGAUUUAGAUUUUAUCCUGAAAUUAGUGAUGAGCCCUUGGAGAGCUUUAACCACAGGGAUGUGAAACCACAGAGACAGCAGUGUCGGGCACGAAGAAAUGAGUGUCACUUUCUAUGGCUGAAUAGCAAAUUACUCCAAAUUUAAAGUCUUAAACAGUAAACAUUAUCUCCCAGUUUCUGUGGCUCAGGAAUUCAGAGGCAACUUAGCUGGGUGGUUCUGGCUGAGGUUUCUCAUGAGGUUGUAGAUAAGAUAGUGACCAGAGUGGCAGUUAUCUAAAGGAUGCACUGGAGCUGGAGAAUUUGCUUCUAGGGUGACUCACUCUAAUGGUUGGGAAGGUACUGCUGGCUGUCAGCAGGAGAGCUCAGUUCCUUGCUACAGGACCCCCCAUAGGACAACUUGAGCCUCCUCACAACAUGACAGCUGGCUUAGUAAUCCAAGACAGCAAAGUGACAUUAACUUUGGAAGUCACAUGCCACCUUGUCAUUCCCAUAUAUCCCAGUGCUAACACAGCUCAGCCCUGCUCAGUGCAGGAGGGUCCUACACAAGGAUGUACAUACAAGAAGGUGGGGAUCAUGGGGUUAUCUUGGAGGCUGGUUUUCUGGGAUGGGAGGCUUACAUGGUGAUGCCUGUGACCUUGGAGGUGGAGGAGAAUGAUGGGCGUACAGAGGAGUGAAGAAAGGCUGGGAGGAAUAGAGAUGUGGGAGAGGAGGUGAGGCAAAGAAAAAAGAAAGGAGGAAGGGGUGUUGGAGCAGAUUGUAGUUGAUCCACAGCAAAGAGCAUCACCAAAGCCAUUCCAGGAGGAACUAGAUCCACCACUUCCUCUGCUGGGCAUGCUCCAAAAAUGGUUGUGGCCUCCAGAGAGGACUCCAAAAGAAAGCACAAAAACUAGACAGUGGGAGGGCAUACCCAAAAGCCCUGAGUUUCUGAAAAAAUAUUGAAAGUUUCUAUGGUGAAAUAGGAAGUUAAUGUGCUUAGGAAGAAAAAAGUGGUAAUGAUUCAAGGAAACAUAAUCACACACGGUUUUAGUUUUAAUGGACAUGGGAGGAGCCAUAAAAGUAGUCUAUCUAUCAUCAGUUACAUAUCUAAUGAACUGUCUAUCUGGGAUACCCUAUCCUGUUUUAAUCUGAGUGACUCUCUCUCAGCUGAGAGAGCUGGACAGACUCCAUUUUAGCCUCUUCACUUGCAGUCCCCUUAUCCCCCUCCCUUAAGGGAAUAACUAGUGCAAGCUGACUCCAAGCACAUCCAGGAAUGCACUUACUGAUAAGAUAUUGAGGCAAGCUGUACCAGCAGCUCCUGGGGACGUGCUCAGUGGAUGGUACCCAAGCCCCUGCAUUUAUCUCUUUGUGAUAGUUUAAGCCCCUGCACCUGGAACUGUGUAUUUUUCUGUAACUAUCUCUGUAACCAUUAAUUUUUUUUAACUUUUUGCGUGUUCUGCUUCUGUAAAAAUUGCUUCAGCUAGGCUCCCCCUGCCCUAUUUAGACCACGGUAUAAAAAGAAAUCUAUCCCCUUCUUCGGGGCUGAGAGAAUUUUGAGCUCUAGCCAUCUCUCGGUCACUGGCAAUAAAAGAACUCCUGAAUUAGUCUCAGA
rnacentral:lncRNA from 1 species